ACCUUCCUUGUCUGGGGGUGGAUUGGGAUGAUCAAUGAGCGAUUAGUGAGACCAUCCCUGCUAACACCUAACCAACACAUCAAGCACCACCUGAGCUCUUCUGCUCAGGCCACGGUGCAAUUUUUGGAACC
ensembl:snRNA